GGAUUAACGCUGGCGGCGUGCCUAAUGCAUGCAAGUCGAACGUGGUCCCUUCGGGGAUGCGCGUGGCGGACGGGUGAGGAACACGUGGGGAACCUGCCCAUUGGUGGGGGGUAGCCCGCGGAAACGCGGGUAUUCCGCAUACGCUGGCCGGUCGCUAGGACUGGUCAGGAAAGGGUCUUCGGACUCGCCGAUGGAGGGGCCUGCGCCCGAUUAGCUGGUUGGUGGGGUAACGGCCUACCAAGGCGAUGAUCGGUAGCUGGUCUGAGAGGACGGCCAGCCA
rnacentral:rRNA from 1 species